UCCUGCCGCAAAGGUUGGGUUGAUGACCGUU
rnacentral:piRNA from 1 species